rnacentral:rRNA from 1 species
CGUGUAGGCGGCUGAGCAAGUCAGAUGUGAAAUCCCUGGGCUUAACCCAGGAAGUGCAUUUGAAACUGCUUAGCUUGAGUAAGGAAGAGGGAAGUGGAAUUCCUGGUGUAGAGGUGAAAUUCGUAGAUAUCAGGAGGAGCACCGGUGGCGAAGGCGACUUCCUGGUCCUAUACUGACGCUGAGACGCGAGAGCGUGGGGAGCAAACA